rnacentral:rRNA from 1 species
AGCAGCCGCGGUAAUUCCAGCUCCAAUAGCGUAUAUUAAAGUUGUUGCAGUUAAAAAGCUCGUAGUUGAAUUUCGGGAUCGAAUUGUUGGUCGUGCUUCGGUACGCACUGGCAUUAUCGGUUCCUACCUUCUGAAGAACCGCGAUGUCAUUAAUUUGGUGUCGUGGGGAAUCAGGACUGUUACUUUGAAAAAUUAGAGUGUUUAAAGCAAGGCUUACGCUUGAAUACAUUAGCAUGGAAUAAUGAAAUAGGACGUUUGAUUCUAUUUUGUUGGUUUCUAGGAUCGACGUAAUGAUUAAUAGGGAUAGUUGGGGGCAUUAGUAUUCAAUUGUCAGAGGUGAAAUUCUUGGAUUUAUUGAAGACUAACUACUGCGAAAGCAUUUGCCAAGGAUGUUUUCAUUAAUCAAG